GAGCAAGGUGUUGGAGAUGGAAGUCACCACCUGCACACAGACAUCAUUUCUUUGUUGAAACUGAGUUAACGACGUCAAAAUUUCCUGUGUGCUUACUAUGUACUAGUCAUUUUGCUAGGCCUUGAGGCCCGAAUGCAGAGGCACAAGAAGGUGAACUGACCUCCUGAGGGCACACUACCAGGAAGUGCAGGAGCAGCUUGGACCCAGGCAACAUGGCUCCAGAGACCACGCUCUCGGCCACACGUUAUAUCACCUCUCAAAACUGAGAACCACAACUAACAGUGUGCAAACUAAGAGUUAACAGAAUGAAGACUGGAGAGCAAGUCUCUUUUAUUGGACUCCACGUCCCAUCCAUCUGGGGACCCGGCACUGGGUGGAUGGGGAGCUGGGAGAAAUGGCGGCAGCGUGUUCAUCAGUGACGCUGCUCAUGGAGACAAUGAAGACCUGCUCUCCUAUCCAAAUGAACAACUUCUGUGAUUUUGGGGAAAUCUGUGAGUUCUGCAACAUCUUUAAAACCCAUCCCUUUGACCAGUAUACUCAGGUCAGUAUGUGUAGCUCUGGGAUAGCAAUUUUAAUGCAAAUGAAACUUAUUUUAUGUUUCUAAUGUCACCAAAUAAAACUUAUAAAAGCCUAAAUCCUAUUCUCCUACAUUAGAAAAAGAAAGAUUUUAUUUUAUUUUAAACAUCAUAAAAGAACAUCUUUUAUGAUGUUCUCAUCCAAUUCAGACUUUGGAUGCUUACAAUUCAGAGAUGAACACCCGUGUGUCCCAUAAAGCUAUGGUACCAGACCAUGGCAACAUUUCGAACCAGAAACCUCUCCAAACUACACCUUCUCAAGGUCUGUGGGAAAUUGUCAAUACUUCCUUAAUCCUGCAAACUAAUGCUCCAAACAUACAACUGAUAAUCCAAGGAACACAGAGGAAUGAGCUGGAAUGGAAGUGAGGAUGACGGGGAGUCCUGGAACUUCACUGUAAACAGCUGGGCAGAAGAACACGGAGCCCAUGUUCUGAUUGACUCACUGAAUCUGGCAGCUGGGAUGUAAAGCCCAAGGAAGUUUAAGGGCAGGAGGAAGAAUUGCCAAAGGACAUUGCUAUUUCUGUGAUAGCAGAAGUUACUUAAUAACUUCUCCUCUUGUGAUAGCAAGUUACUUGAUGUUUUUCUUGGAACCUAACUUUAUGGAAGUCCCUUUAAUGUUGUGCUUGUAAGAAAAAGCCCAAAACUGCUUUGGCCUCUGGUUCUGGAGCUCAGUAGACCAGAAUGAUGUGAGUGAACAGUAACAAUUAGCUGAGGCCUUUCCCAGCAAUGGGAGCCUACAGGAUAGGAUUUCAUGAGACUGAACUAGGAGAAUCUCUCAAGACAGGGUUGAAAAAGGGUGUGUAAACUUCAUACAUGUUCAAGAAGCAUUUAAUAACUUUUAUGAAAUCGGUUUCAGAGUAAAGUCCCUAUCACUGGAAUACAGAAGUGAAGCUGACAGGGCAGAACAAUAUGAUGAAGUUAAACCCAAAUCAGAUGGAACAGGUUAACAUGAAAGUAAAUUCAGAGUCCUGUCUCUCCAACUCCCACCCAUACUCUUGCUGCUGUUCCUGAGCAUGGCCUGGGUUCAGGGCUAUAGCUUCUGCAUGGCAGCUAGGGUCUACCUGGAAAAAGAACUGGUGCCCUAGUGCAUCUGUAGCAUUGGAAAUGACUGUCUUCGGGGCCACCAGGUUAGGAAGGUAGGUGUGGACCAAAAAAAAAAAAAAAAGGUGGGAGUAGAGCUGAACUCCCCCCAUAGUGGGUCUCUUUUCCUUUCAGUCUCCCUGGGAGACCUCUGGAGCAGAGAAGGCCUGACCCUAAGCAGAUGUAGGAACAAAUCUCUUACGAGAGAAUGUUCAGGGAGGUCCCUGGUCGGAACACCAGAGAAAAGACACAGGAGGAAUUUUCCUGGCCAAUAUCCACUUCCUCGCAGCCAUAUCUUAGGCUUCAGUUAGAGUUUUCUGAGAACCCCUUGAAUCGGGCCAGGGGAAAAACCCAGCACUUAGACUGUACUUUGGACAAAUACAAAAUGUCAAAAUCCGAAUCCCAAACCCUGGGAUAGAGACCACAGGUGACAUAAAAACAGAUAUGGAGGAACAUUCCAAGACUAAAAAGAAAUCAUUGGCUGUGAAGGCAUCAACAGUGCUUCCAUGAACUAAACUUCAAAACCCAAAUCCACAGAUUAACAAAAAUCCAUAUUUACUAAAUCAUUCCCAAAUUAUUAUAUGUAGGUUUAGGCAACACAUGUCUUCUAAGCUAAGCUCCCAAGUUUGCUCUCUUAAAUAUAUGAGGUCAGAAUUUUCAGCCAUGAAAUCUCUUUCAUUUGAAAUGCAAAUCUAAUAUCUAAUACUGAAACGUUAAAAGAAUGAAAUAGUGGAGCAAGGUUUUACAAUGGGGCUCAGAGUCCAUGGGGUGACUGAUCAGAUUUUGGUGAUAGACAAGUUGCUUAAAAUACCAAGUAACAAGGUCCCAACACAUGAUGGAGCAGAGGGAGAGAAAAGCAGGAAGAGAAUUGUGUUCGGUGUACACUGAUGGACCAGCUAUCUGGGAGCUGGUAUCUAUGAGGUUCGAACUGCCCAAAUGCAAACCUAACAGCAGCUUCUUGCGUCUGGGCCAGAUACCAAAGUCCUGGUACUGGUCCUUUUCACACUAUCUCAACAUUCACAUAAUGCACUUCAACAGUUUUCCACGCUGCACUGGAAGAGCAGAUACCUCCUAGAUGGAACCUGGAGACCCAAGGCAGCCACAGUAAAUAAGUAUCUUGCACAUACAUCAAAUGCAGUCCUCAAACACAACCUUACAUCUUAGUAAAGAAGUCAGAAAGUACCAACAAAAAUGAUAGGCUUUUUUUCCUACAACAAUGUUUAAUCUCCAUGCUGAGAAGUCCCAUUUGACUUUUUUCCCCAUGCCUUUUAAAAUUAGGUGACAAAGUAGAAAUCCAGUUGUGAAAAUAAAAAGGCAGAGGUGUAUGAGCCCUGGCUCAAUGA